rnacentral:SRP_RNA from 2 species
GCCAGGCAUGGUGGCGGGUGCCUGUAGUCCCAGCUACUCGGGAGGCUGAGGCAGGAGAAUUGCUUGAACCUGGGAGGCGGAGGUUGCAGUGAGCCGAGAUCGUGCCACUGCACUCUAGCCUGGGUGACAGAGCGAGACUCUGUCUCAA